UGAACGCUAGCUACAGGCUUAACACAUGCAAGUCGAGGGGCAGCAUGGUCUUAGCUUGCUAAGGCCGAUGGCGACCGGCGCACGGGUGAGUAACACGUAUCCAACCUGCCGUCUACUCUUGGACAGCCUUCUGAAAGGAAGAUUAAUACAAGAUGGCAUCAUGAGUCCGCAUGUUCACAUGAUUAAAGGUAUUCCGGUCAUCGAUGGGGAUGCGUUCCAUUAGGUUGUUGGCGGGGUAACGGCCCACCAAGCCUUCGAUGGAUAGGGGUUCUGAGAGGAAGGUCCCCCACAUUGGAACUGAGACACGGUCCAAACUCCUACGGGAGGCAGCAGUGAGGAAUAUUGGUCAAUGGACGAGAGUCUGAACCAGCCAAGUAGCGUGAAGGAUGACUGCCCUAUGGGUUGUAAACUUCUUUAUACGGGAAUAAAGUGAGGCACGUGUGCCUUUUGUAUGUACCGUAUGAAUAAGGAUCGGCUAACUCCGUG
rnacentral:rRNA from 1 species